rnacentral:sRNA from 1 species
GCUGGGCACAGUGGCGCAAGCCUGUAAUCCCAGCAUUUUGGGAGGCUGAGGCAGGAGGAUAGAGAGUUCAAAGCCAGCCUCAAUAACAGUAAGGCACUAAGCAACUCAGUGAGACCCUGCUUCUA